UCUCCUCUUCCUGCCUUCACCACUCCUGCUCACAGUAUUAUUUCUUGCAGCAGAUAUGUCUCUCACUUCCAGUUUUUAACCGGCACUGUAUCUUCACAUAUGUUGCAAGCCUUCAAAGAUCACAAAACACUUCAAAGGACUUCAUGUACAUCUGCAACUAUUACCAAUGACAGUGACAACUGGAAAACAGGAAAUCACCAUGCAGUAUCAACAACUAGUUCUGAUAUGACCAGUUCUAUCCAGAGCAGCAAGUAUAAGGAGAUGUUCUAGAUUCCUCACUGGUUACCAGGAACUCAGUAGUACCAAGAAAAAAAAUUCUGCAGAUUCAACCCUUUUAUACAGAACUUCUCUCUGCACUGUGGUGUAAAAUGUAUGACAGUAUCUCACAUUUUCAGAAUGUGUGAGACAUGAAUGACUAUGCAUCAUAUAAAGUGACUGGCUGUCCACUUUGUUACUGGCCCACCUGGAAUUUAACUGAAUCCCAAUUUUCAGCCUUAGGCAAGGCUGAUAGCCACCACAUAAUCUGAAAGUCUAUCUUCUAAGCACAAAAACUUAAAGCCUGUAGAUGUAAGACUGAAUCGUUCGCUAAAAUAUUUUAUUUCUUGAGUCAAAUAAUUUGUUACACAUUCUUUACUUAAGAAAUAUUUAACUAUAUGAUUUUACAAAUGCACUGCUCACAAACCCAACACAAAAUACUUUAACAGCAGUUAUUAAAGUAGCGGUGGAGGUUCUAGAUAUCAGCCACAUAAGAAGCAAGGCUAGGCUAAAAGAUGCUUUCUUCUGGUCAUUCUUAUCAACUUUCACAAGGUUAAUUACCUGUGUUGCUGUUCAUUAUUAUUAAAUUGCAAAUUUGCAUUGGACAAAAAAAAAAAAAAUUAAAACAAGAUUAAAUAAACAACAUCAAGAAUGCAAACUACUAUUAUUUAACCAACAAAGGAAUGCCUUUCAUGAUUUUGCUAACCUUAAUUGUGCCUAUAGAUUUGAGAUCCCCUAAUGAAAAGUGGUACAAAGCAGAAUGCACUAACUGUAUGAAUCGUGACACAUACUCAUAUACCACUGAUUGUAAAUCUGUACCCUUUUUAUUUGUACCCACAGCUGUGAUUUGUAUACUUGUGAAAAAAUAAUUCCAAACAGCGAAAUGUUGUAAUUGGAGACAUGUAUAGCAAACAACCACAGAACUAAUAACUAUGCGAUUUUAUGUAGCUUAUUUUUGAUAAUGUAGCAAGUAGAUCAUUUGAAAGAUUUGUAUAGUCUGUAACUGCAAUUUGUAAAUAUAAAUCUUCCCGAGGCAGAGAAAAAAACAGAUAGAAAAAGAAGUUUAAAAUCCUUCAAGGCAUUAUUAUUAAACAAGCAAUAUUCAC
rnacentral:lncRNA from 7 species